UACGUACUCCCUCCAUCUCAAAAUUCUUGUCUUAGAUUUGUCUAGAAAUGGAUGUAUCUAAAUACAAAAACGUGUCUAGGUACAUUCAUAUCUAGACAAAUAUAUGACAAGAAUUUUGGACGGAGGGAGUAACAU
rfam:Hordeum vulgare subsp. vulgare, WGS project CAJW01000000 data, contig: morex_contig_8235